rnacentral:rRNA from 1 species
UACGUAGGUGGCAAGCGUUGUCCGGAAUUAUUGGGCGUAAAGGGAGCGCAGGCGGUUGGAAUAGUCUGAUGUGAAAGCCCACGGCUUAACCGUGGAGGGUCAUUGGAAACUGUCCAACUUGAAUGCAGAAGAGGAAAGUGGAAUUCCAUGUGUAGUGGUGAAAUACGUAGAGAUAUGGAGGAACACCAGUGGCGAAGGCGACUUUCUGGUCUGUGAUUGACGCUGAGGCUCGAAAGCGUGGGUAGCAAACAGG